CCUACGGGGUGCUGCAGUGGGGAAUAUUGCACAAUGGGGGGAACCCUGAUGCAGCGACGCCGCGUGGGUGAGGAAGUACUUCGGUAUGUAAAGCCCUAUCAGCAGGGAAGAAAAUGACGGUACCUGACUAAGAAGCCCCGGCUAACUACGUGCCAGCAGCCGCGGUAAUACGUAGGGGGCCAGCGUUAUCCGGAUUUACUGGGUGUAAAGGGAGCGUAGACGGCGUGCCAAGUUUGAUGUGAAAGGCCGGGGACCAACCCUGGGACUGCAUUGGAAACUGGGAUGCUGGAGUGGCGGAGGGGCAAGCGGAAUUCGUAGUGUAGCGGUGAAAUGCGUAGAUAUUAGGAGGAACACCGAUGGCGAAGGCGGCGUGCUGGACGGUAACUGACGUUGAGGCUCGAAAGCGUGGGGAGCAAACAGGAUUAGAUACCCGGGUAGUC
rnacentral:rRNA from 1 species